rnacentral:lncRNA from 1 species
GUGGUGUCUUAUCAUCAUUUUUUGGUGCCGGUGGUGUGGGAGAUUGCGGUGUUCAAGCAUGGGGUUUAGGUGAUGGUGGUGAAGCCUGGGGUUUAGGUGAUGGUGGGGGAGUUGGUUUUGAUGGUGGCGGGGAUGGUGGUUGUGGCAUUAUUGGUGAUGGUGGUGGUGGGGAUUAUGGAUGCAAGAUUGGAGAGGUUGGUGGAGUGGGAAGAGAUGUGGGAUGGGACGACUCCUGAGUCUGCGGCACUUCUCGGGGUGAUGGUUCUGGU